UAAGUCACCACGUCUGGCCCAAAAACUUUUCAGAAAAGCAAAUUAUUAGUUGCCCUGAUCAGAAUCAGAAAUUCUGAGGGUGAGACCCCAAAAUCUGUUUUAACAAGCACUCAAGGUGAUUUUGAUGCAAGCUAACGCUUGAAACCUACUGUCGCGUUUGGGAGGAUGAAACUUCCCCAUAUCUUUUGCAUAAGUGAGGCCGGGGAUUACUUCUGGGAAUGGGAUGUAAACACAGUGCUGUAUGUCAUUUCCUGGGCUAAACGUUUAAUUGUUCGUGCAUGACCUUCCAUUUUCUCAUCUGGGUAGGUUGUGUGAUUUUAAAUAGAAACGCAGCAUGCUGGAGCUUCUGCUAAUUCGGACCCCAGAGUUGCUACAUGAACAUCUUGUAAAUGAAAGACAACAAAACAAAAAUUUUUAUGUUAAAUAACUGAAAUGUUGUGGCUGUUUGUUACUGCAUUAUAGCCUAUCCUAUCCUGAUGAAUGCAAGUACUAAUGCUGUAGUUCUGACAAUUUGGUUUGAUUAGUGCUGAUAAGAAGAGAAGGGACUCCCCCAUCCCUCCUCAGUCACCAAACAUCCAUUUCACAGUUCUUCUAAGAACAUAUAUUUAGGUUUAACAUACUAGGAUAAUUUAAGACAAGCUUCUAUAUCUGGUUGUGGGUUGCACAUGCCAAAAAUGGGAAUGGAAUUGAAAAAAAAAGACUCAGUCUCAUGUCCUGAUGUAUCCAAAUAUCUAUAUCUGGUAUUAUAGUGUUCAAAUAUUGGGGUCCGAGUUUGCAUCCUUGAAAGUUCUUUCUAUAGCUCCGGAUUAUUAUGCUGAUACUAAGAAUUUGAUAUUGCUUCUUCCCAUUGCAAGAGCUCAAUUCUGGGAAGGCAUUCUCCUUCUCUUUAGACCUUUCCUAAGUAGACUACUUUGUCUUUCUAUGACAGGAACUGCACGUUUUGUGCUCCUUUACUGAGGCGAGCGUCCCUGGGCUUGUCCUCUCCCCACCAUUGCUUUUUCCUUUAUGUAUUUAUAACCAUCACUCUAUUAAGACUGCUUCACAGGUUGGCUACCUUCAUUUCCAAUUUUAUAUUCAUUAAUAGAAACUUUCUCAGACCUCUGUUUUCAUCAUUUCUACCAUUAAUCUUUCUUGACUAUUAUUGUUUUGUCAGACCCCAUUACUGUUGUCAUCAAAAUCAUCAUCACCACCAUCAUGAAUAUUGACAGCAUAGUCAACAUUUAUUGAAAUUUUGCUACGUUGUUAGGGUCUGAACUAUUGAUCAUUGAUCAAGGCAUCAUGUCUUUGACCGUCCUUUUGCCACAUCAGUUUGCUCUUCUGCUCUGCUUUGUAACUGUCUCUUACCUUUUCAUACUUCUGCGACAUGAAAUUACUGCCCUGAUCCAAGAUCCUUUAUGUAUAUUUUUCUUAUUCCUACCUUAAUUCAUUUAUUAAAAAUUAUAAUGCUCUCAUUUUCUUCAUUAAGAUAUAGCCCUUAGGAUCUUGAUUUAUAAACAGCAAAUGACCAAUUCUCAUUCCUCUAGGGAUCUCUUUGUGACUUAGUCCAUUUUUAAAUUGGGAGUGCUCAACAAAAGCUGCUGUUAUAUCUGCAUGAGUUUUUCCCUCUGGAGUUAGUGUUGACGAUCUCCCAAGAGUUUAUUUGAUUGGGUCAUUAAGAUGGAUGAAAUAACCAUAUUGACUGUUUAGUGAGCUGGUUAUUACAGUAAUCUUAAUGAGAGAAUUAGAUCGAUCCCAAGGUACUCCAAAUCCUUAUUUGAUGAUUGACCUACAAGCAAUCAAUUGCCCAUGUUGCUCUAUAUGAAUUCUCUGCUUCCAGAGAAUUCAACCAGUCUCACACCCCACACCCCCUGCUAAACAUGAACUCUACAAUACUCAUAUACACAUGUACAUGCAUGAGAAAACCCAUGGGCAGAUGCCUCAUUGGAGAUCAGGCUGGAACACACAAGUAAAAAUGUGCAAGGGGAUUUCAUUUGUGUUUCCGAAUGUUACUAGGACUCAGUCCAGGGAGGGCAAGAAGGGGAACUGGUGGCAGAGUGUAACCUUAUCACAUGAUGCAUGUGGUCACUGGAGCAGGGUGCUCAAAGCCUAUUUGUGUGGAUGUUGAAGCAGGAGGGAAAUAUGAAGCUUUAAAAUUUACAACACACUCUAAUGUUUGUGCUGCUAUAGCAAAAUAUCACAGAUGGGUAAUUUAUGAAGAAUAGGGAUUUAUCUUUCACAGUUCUGGAGGCUGGGGAGUCCAAGAUCAAGGGGCCUGUGUUGGUGUCUGGUGAGGGCCUGUUCCAUCAAUGGUACCUUCUCACUGUGGCGACCUCUCUUGGAGGAAGGCAGAAGAGAAACAAGGGGCAAACUCUCUCUGAAGACUUUUUUAUGAGGACUUUACGUCUUAAUACCACCAGAGUGGGGAUUAAGUUUCAAUGUUAAUUUUGGAGGGGACAUUACAUUCAAACUCUCCUUCCAACUCUUCUCUUUGGGAAGUUCAUCUAUAAGCUGGGAAUUGUGACCCUAACCCUACCAACUGUACAGGACUUGUGCUUACUAGAUAAGACCUAGAUGGAAAAAAAACUUUGAAAAGUAUAAAGCAUUGUAGGAAUGAAGAUACUCAUACUCAAGGCCUAAUAUCGGCCAUCAAAAGGAACUCAAAUGUGGGAGAUAAUUUGUCAGCAAUGACUAACUUAAAAAGUAAAUGUUUUCUCUAAUAUUUUAGUAACUUCCUUGACCUCAGUUACCCAGAUAAUAGCCUCAUAUCUCACCCAAAUGUUUGCUUUGCCUGUGUGCUUGCAUUUUGAGUUUCCCUCUAAAGAUAAAAAAGAAUUUGUGUGUUUGCGUGCACACAUAUGUGUCUCCGAUGGGCAGAAUUUGGGAGUGUGUAGAAUCUUGGAAGGGCACAGGGGCUUCAACUGAAUGAUCCAAUCUGGCUUUGAAGCCAUUUACAGGACUCAAAGCUCUAGACUAUCCUGCUGAGACUCUCACACAGAGCAAGAAGGAGGGAUGAGAAAUGUCCAUAAGUAUUUUCACUCAAACCAUGAUGCAGGAAAGAAAUGCCACAGACUAUCAAAGAAACCACUAUUGAUGUCUCCUGUUUCUGAAGCGCUACAGAAUUUAAAGUACUAAAAUAUGUCUCUGGACAUGUCUAGGAUGGCUGAUAAGUUGGGUUCCAAAAAUCCCUCCAGGUAGUGGUUCCUACUGCUGCUAAGUACCAGCUGCAGGCCAUUGUACCAUUCUUCAGAAGUGCUACAGGCACUUCCAGAUAUCUUUUAAGGCCUGGAAGGGGCAAAACAAUUCAGGAAGCAGUUGAAGAUAAAGAGGUUUACAAUGGAAGAGAAGAUCCAGGUGCCUUCAGGGAAAUGCUUGUGGUUAAAAAGAGAUGAAGAUGAGCAUCCCUGGAAAGAGGAAGAGCCAGCCAGGAAAAUUAUACCAUCAGCAAGACUGGCAUCAGCAAGUAGUUCGCAGUGUUGAUUGUUCUUGGUUUCGUAGGAUUUUAUAGGAGUUCUGAACACUGGGAAGUCCAAAAGCAAGGCGCCAACAGAUUCAAUGUCUGGUGAGAACUACUCUGCUUCCAAGAUGGCACUUUCUUACUGCAUUCUCACACAGAAGAAGAGACAAGUACUGUGUCCUACCACGGUGGAAAGGCAAAGAGGAGCCAAAUAGGCUCCCUCGAG